rnacentral:rRNA from 1 species
AUGAAUGCCAAGGCAGCCACGCCCAUCUUGCUCCUCCUGCUUCUUGUUGGAUGCCACGUGUUCUCCGCACACGGUGAUGACGCCGAGGGAUCGGGCGGCGGUCGCCGUGAGCUAGGCGAGGGCGGCGGCAGCGGCAGCAAGGCUCAGGUCGCCGGGUUGUGCGUCGACAGCCCGUGCGACGCGGACCCGAACCGGACGUGCUUCUGCUGCACGAGGCUGGCCAACGAGCCCUGCUACGACACGCUGAGGCAGUGA